AAGAGGGGGACCUUCGGGCCUCUUGCCAUCGGAUGUGCCCAGAUGGGAUUAGCUAGUAGGUGGGGUAACGGCUCACCUAGGCGACGAUCCCUAGCUGGUCUGAGAGGAUGACCAGCCACACUGGAACUGAGACACGGUCCAGACUCCUACGGGAGGCAGCAGUGGGGAAUAUUGCACAAUGGGCGAAAGCCUGAUGCAGCCAUGCCGCGUGUAUGAAGAAGGCCUUCGGGUUGUAAAGUACUUUCAGCGGGGAGGAAGGGAGUAAAGUUAAUACCUUUGCUCAUUGACGUUACCCGCAGAAGAAGCACCGGCUAACUCCGUGCCAGCAGCCGCGGUAAUACGGAGGGUGCAAGCGUUAAUCGGAAUUACUGGGCGUAAAGCGCACGCAGGCGGUUUGUUAAGUCAGAUGUGAAAUCCCCGGGCUCAACCUGGGAACUGCAUCUGAUACUGGCAAGCUUGAGUCUCGUAGAGGGGGGUAGAAUUCCAGGUGUAGCGGUGAAAUGCGUAGAGAUCUGGAGGAAUACCGGUGGCGAAGGCGGCCCCCUGGACGAAGACUGACGCUCAGG
rnacentral:rRNA from 1 species